CCAAGAACUUACGGUAUUUAUAAUUAAUCUAGAGACAACAAAACAAUGUAUCAAAGAAAGAAACUACACAACAAAAUGAAUUUCUACAAGCAUGAAGCAUUAGCCCUCAAAGCGCUAACAGGCUACCAAAUAUGCUUUCGAAUUUAAAAGUAAACCAUCUUUCUAAAAAUUAAUCAUUUCUCAACCUCUGCUCUAAUUAGAUAACGCACCUACAAGAUGAUCACUACAAUUUUCUAUAGUUUGAUUCUGUUCUUUUACUGCAAUAAAUAAAUUCAAAAUAACAAAAAUUGAAAACAAUAAAUCCUGGGAAUAGCACCGAGAACUUCAUCGUGUAGCUUGUGCCUGUGCGUGAUCUAAAAGUUGACUGACUAACUUGUAAGUACGCCCUGACAAUGCCUUGGUGUGAUCUAUCAACUGCUCAUACCUGAAGUGAGGAAAACUUUGAAAUUGCAUUUGAGCUAUUUAAGAAAAAUAAAGAAAAGAAAACCAAUGUAUAUAGAUAGAGUGCAAAGGAAAUUAUAAUAGGAGAAGACAAGACCAAGUAGGUUAAAAGAACAAUUAAGUGCAAUUGUUUAUAAAUCUAUCGGUAAUCUUACACGUUGGGAUAAUUAGGCUCCAUGAUAACAGUUUCUAAUUUUGAAUCAAUCUUAGCAUCAAGCUUUGAGUUUCGUAUGAGAUUCACAAUCCAUCUCUCAGCCUCCUCAUAAUUCAGGUUCAAUUUCUCUGCAAGGACUCUGCAAUGAACAGCAAAUUAGUUAAAGUGUAAUAAACAAAGAGAAGCAUUAAAGUUUAAUGCAAGAUGAAAAAUUGUGUCCCAAUUCCCAAGCAUAAUUAAGGCUAUAGUGUGCUUGAUGAUCCAAAUAUUAACUGACCCCAAUUUUCAGAUAUAGUGCAGAGAACCUCAACUAUUACAGUAGGGCACAAGAUAUUCAUUUCUCAAAUGAAAAAUAAAGACACAUGGCAUAUUAAUUAUUGGCGCAUCUACUAUAAACUUUACCUUAUACAAGAGCAUGCCUCGUAGUCUUUAGAUCAAAUAUUUGCAUAGAGUUUUGUGUAUAAUUAUUUCAAUUAUACAUACACAUUAAUUGACCCUACAUAAAUCUCGGUAUAAAUAUCUUAUCUAAAAAAUACUAGAAUCAUUCACACAUAAGGUCGAGCUGGUAUUAGCUACACCCAUUGAAAAAUACAAGUGAAAAUAUAACCAUCAAAUUGAAAAAUUUUUAGUUUUUCCGGUUUUCUUUUCCUUUCCUUACGUUCACUGUUUAUUAAAAAUGUGUUGGAUUCUUGAAGCUAAGUUUAUUCAACAUUCCCCAAAAUAAAAUUAAAUAUUUAGUUACAUCCCCUAAGAAGAGGUGAAUUCUCGUGUCAAAUAUUUCCAUUUGCGAAGCUUCGCUAACACAUCCAGUAAGUCUGUGCUUACCCCAUGUCAAUACGUUGAUGUAUACGGCAAUAAGUUUCAAAGAUAAAUAGGCGGGCAUUUUCAAGGAACUCAUCUCUCAGAGGCACGGUAGAAAAGUUACCAUCUUCAAUUUGUUUUCCAAGGAAUGGAUCAUUUAAAAUCACUUCUUCACACUCCCUCAUCUUCUUUUGUGCCCCAUCAAAAUCAUAAUUAACAUAUACACAUGCUAAAAACUCUGUGAUGGGAUCUUUGUACGAGUGCUGCUCUUGCUGUACGACUUUUAUAAAGUCUUUGAAUUGAGGUCUUCUCC
rnacentral:misc_RNA from 1 species